UAAGUGCCCCGCCUGGGGAGUUCGGCCGCAAGGCUAAAACUCAAAGGANNNGNCGGGGGCCCGCACAAGCGGCGGAGCAUGCGGAUUAAUUCGAUGCAACGCGAAGAACCUUACCAAGGCUUGACAUGUUCUCGAUCGCCGUAGAGAUACGGUUUCCCCUUUGGGGCGGGUUCACAGGUGGUGCAUGGUUGUCGUCAGCUCGUGUCGUGAGAUGUUGGGUUAAGUCCCGCAACGAGCGCAACCCUCGUUCCAUGUUGCCAGCACGUAAUGGUGGGGACUCAUGGGAGACUGCCGGGGUCAACUCGGAGGAAGGUGAGGACGACGUCAAAUCAUCAUGCCCCUUAUGUCUUGGGCUUCACGCAUGCUACAAUGGCCGGUACAAUGGGUUGCGAUACUGUGAGGUGGAGCUAAUCNNNNNNAGCCGGUCUCAGUUCGGAUUGGGGUCUGCAACUCGACCCCAUGAAGUCGGAGUCGCUAGUAAUCGCAGAUCAGCAAAGCUGCGGUGAAUACGUUCCCGGGCCUUGUACACAC
rnacentral:rRNA from 1 species